ACUUGUGAGACAGGCGGCGGCACCAUUGAGCUAAAUCCCCGGCCUGGUUCUCACAUUUUAGAGUGUUUAGGAGUCAGCUGCAGAGCUGUUCAUACCCCAGACGUCCUGACUGCAUCUGGGAACAAUUUCCAGUAACCGAAGACACUGAUGAUCAAAUGGUACACAUGGGCAGUUACAGAUUUCUGCAAAAGGAAGGCUACAUAAAUUUAAGCUUCCACCUCUACCUUUUUCUGGGCCACUGCCUGUCUUGAUGGUUCACCCCCAGAAGUAGGAUCGUGCUUAAGAAGCAAUAGUUGCUCAGUAGGAGGUCAUCUCUCUUCACUCAUCCAUCCAAUAUCAAAAAAUCUUCUUUUUCAAAAGAAUCAUAAAGUUGCUUGUUUUUAACAAGACAGAAGACCACAACAUGGAGGUUUAACUUGAGAGUUUAAACAUUUGGAUUUUUACUGCUAACUUCAGGGCUGCAGGCAAGGAAACAUAAAAGAACCCUCAUUCACGUUCCCAGAGAACAGCAUCUGAGCCUGGGAAGACUUGGCACUAAAUGAGAGGGAAGAGACUGUCUUGCACAUACAUCUGUGUACCAGGACAUCUGUAGGAGGAAUUCAUGGAACCAGAGUUGCUGGCUGAAAUUACUCUGCCCUGCUGUUCAUCUAAAUGAGAAGAGUUCUUUGUGUCAAAGGAUGGCCAGGCCUGUUGGAGCAUUUCUUCUACACUUGGGAAAGGACUGCACAGAGCCGAGCCCGGGGCUCAUUUCAGGCGUCCGGCCAUGCUGGGCUUCCUUGGAGCGACUAUCUUGGAAUUUGGAUCUCUCGGUGUAACAAGAUUUCUGGAAACCUCAGACCUUGGCCACACCUGGAGGAGUUGUCAGCUUCUACUUACCGAGCCGUACAGGAGCCCGGCGGUGUCCAUAGCCAAGUAUUGGCCGGUCUCCGUGCUCUUUAUAUACACCUCCCCCACACCUUCCGCACUGAGCUGCAGCUGAACUGGGAGAAAAACAACACAUGCAAAACCUUGGGCCACCAGCCAGCUGCCUGCAUCCCUGCCAGAAUCAUCUACCCAGCCCUGCAGCAGCCUCAUGGAGCUGCUUGCACAGAAAGCACUUUCAUCAUAGAUCAAGGCACCUACUUGGAUCAUUUGCCCUUGUGACACUGGAAUUAAGCAUGAGUACCGUGACAGAAGACGCAGAUGCUGGCCCAGGAGGCUGGAGCCCGGUUUUCGUUCCAUGAGAGGCGGGCGAGGAUGAGCUGUGACGGCUGUGAUGGCGGCAGUGGCAAGACCAGGAAGGCUCUGAGAGCUACAGUAUUCUAUCCAAGGUCACACAUCCGGACCAUCGCACUGCCAAAGCCUGAUCUCAAGUUCACUUGAACCCAGAGGCCAAACUUGGAAGCAGAGAGGUGUGAAUGAAUGAGACGGACUCCGUGAAGAGAACACCGUAGCUCUGCUAUGAAUGGAUUUCCUUGCCUGUCUGGAAGCAGGAGAAGUUGGAACCAGCCGUAUCUGAGGAGGGAGUAUGUCACUGUGGGUUUGUGAAAUGUUGGGAAUCUGGAAGCUGGCUUAGACCUCUAAGUUAUGUUUUAACAGGAACUUCCAGGAUCCCUGCAGGGAAAAGCAAAGGUCCUGGGUGACACAGCAACAAUAGAACAAAAUUGAAGAAAAAAACAAAACCCAAAACAAAAAAACAAACAUCAGGCUAAACCUGUCAUCAAAGGGAGGGAGGAAAAAGCAGCAGUAAGUUCAGGACCAGAAGGCUCAAGCUUGAACAGAGUAUACCUACUGGUGGUGUUGGGUGGGGGCCAGCGCCCAAGAAUAUGGUAUCAUGCUUUCCAAGCCCAGGGACAGAAGUGGCUUCCAUCCAGUCCUGCCUGUAUUUAUUCCAACAAACAAAUUGGCAGGAUAGAAAGAACCCCUGUAGGGGAUAAGGAUAAACAGGGAAUGUCUACGGGAAGCAAAAAGAUGCUCUGCAUAGGUUCAGUUGAGCAAGUCAGGCUAGGAACUGAGCCCUGGCAGAGAGAGAGCACAAAAUAGAAACAGAGAAUGCAACUGACUUGAAAAUGCUGAGCGUAGUGUGGAAUGCACAGUAGGAGAACUGAGCAUAACUGUGGCCUUAGACAGUUGAUUACCUGUUGAUGGAUGAGCCAGAAAGAGUAGAGAUGAAAUUACGCUUCUCAUCCGGACUUUUUGAUUAGAAGUGGUAAGAAAGGUAAUACAACCUUACCAAAGUUUAAAAAGAGAAUUUUAGUUUAAAAAGGAUGACAGAAGAGACCAAAAUGGUGAGGUAGAGAUCAAUGCAAAACACAGCCUCUCCAGGACCUGGAAUUGAGACACCUGGAAAAUAACAACUUGGUAAAGCGGAAAAAAAAAAGUAGAACUCUGGGAAUUGGGAAGGAGCUGAUAGGAAAACCAGAAAA